GACGAACGCUGGCGGCGUGCUUAACACAUGCGAGUCGAACGGAAAGGCCCUGCUUUUGUGGGGUGCUCGAGUGGCGAACGGGUGAGUAACACGCGAGUAACCUGCCCUUGACUUUGGGAUAACUUCAGGAAACUGGGGCUAAUACCGGAUAGGAGCUCCUGCUGCAUGGUGGGGGUUGGAAAGUUUCGGCGGUUGGGGAUGGACUCGCGGCUUAUCAGCUUGUUGGUGGGGUAGUGGCUUACCAAGGCUUUGACGGGUAGCCGGCCUGAGAGGGUGACCGGCCACAUUGGGACUGAGAUACGGCCCAGACUCCUACGGGAGGCAGCAGUGGGGAAUAUUGCACAAUGGGCGGAAGCCUGAUGCAGCAACGCCGCGUGCGGGAUGACGGCCUUCGGGUUGUAAACCGCUUUCGCCUGUGACGAAGCGUGAGUGACGGUAAUGGGUAAAGAAGCACCGGCUAACUACGUG
rnacentral:rRNA from 1 species